GACGAACGCUGGCGGCGUGCUUAACACAUGCAAGUCGAACGGAAAGGCCCUGCUUUUGUGGGUGCUCGAGUGGCGAACGGGUGAGUAACACGUGAGUAACCUGCCCUUGACUUUUGGAUAACUUUAGGAAACUGGGGCUAAUACCGGAUAGGAGCUUCUGUUGCCUGGUGGGGGGUGGAAAGUUUUGGCGGUUGGGGAUGGACUCGCGGCUUAUCAGCUUGUUGGUGGGGUAGUGGCUUACCAAGGCUUUGACGGGUAGCCGGCCUGAGAGGGUGACCGGCCACAUUGGGACUGAGAUACGGCCCAGACUCCUACGGGAGGCAGCAGUGGGGAAUAUUGCACAAUGGGCGGAAGCCUGAUGCAGCAACGCCGCGUGCGGGAUGACGGCCUUCGGGUUGUAAACCGCUUUCGCCUGUGACGAAGCGUGAGUGACGGUAAUGGGUAAAGAAGCACCGGCUAACUACGUG
rnacentral:rRNA from 1 species